rnacentral:lncRNA from 1 species
GAUUGAACAGGUGACUGAACAGGUGAGGCCUAAUCAAAGAGACUGAGCUCUGCUCUGCCGCUGCAGCUACAAACCUGGGAGAAGAAAGCGGAGGGAAGACGCUGGGAAGCCCAGGAGAUUCCCGUUGGAACUGUGUCUAAAAGGACCACGAGAUAAAGAUGCUCAGGUUGAUUUGGGAUUUGGAAAAUCAUGACUACAUUCUGAGCAAGGAGCUGACAGACUGCGAUGAGACAGACUACAAGAGAUGACAACGAUAAGUUACAUCAACUGAAUCAUUUCAUCUUAUGGAUGCAAAGAUGAAGGAAAAGAACAAAAACAUGGC